AGUGCGACAAUAGGAGAGGCACCCCCUGCUUUUGAAAGACCAACUUCUCUUAUUUCUAUUACUUCUUCUCUAUUUACUUCUUCUUCUUCUUCUUCUUCUUAUCCUCCAUCAAUUCAAAUUGAUGGAGAUCAAAUUUCUGGAUUUAUUGAAAAGAAUUCGUCUCAUCGAAAGAAGAAAUGGAGCCAAAGGUGGUUUGUUCUUGACCCUCAAACUCGAAAACUUCUUUAUUAUAAAAACCCAAGCUCAAAAAUUGAAAGAUGUGUGAU
rnacentral:ribozyme from 13 species